UUACAAUAUAGAUUAUAAAUCCUUAUUUUACAUUAUAAUUUCUUAAAGUGACUUUAAAAUAAAAUAAUUUAUUAUAUAAAUAUGUCAAAAUUUUAUAAAUUUUUUAAGAAAGGAAAAUGCUCUGUGAUUGGAAUGGUACACGUUGGUGCUUUGCCUGGCACUCCUGCAUAUAAUGGUAAUAUUAAUCAAAUUAUAAGUAAUGCAAUAAAGGAAACAAUAAUCUAUAGAGAUUGUAAUAUUGAUGGUAUUUUAGUGGAAAAUAUGCAUGAUAAUCCAUAUGUGAGAUCUGAACAUUUAACACCUGAAACGACAGCAAUGAUGACUAGAAUCUGCACAGAAAUUAAGCAAAUAUUACCUGAAAAUAUACCUUGUGGUAUACAGAUUUUAGCAGGAUGUAAUAAAGAAGCAAUAGCUGUAGCAAAAGCAACUAAUUUUCAAUUUAUCAGAGCGGAAGGAUUUGUCUUUUCUCAUAUUGCAGAUGAGGGAUUUACAGAUGCAUGUGCUGGUUCUUUAUUGAGAUAUAGAAAACAAAUUGAUGCUGAUGAUAUUCUUAUUUUUGCUGAUAUUAAAAAAAAACAUAGUUCACAUACAAUCACUUCUGAUGUAAGUUUAUUAGAAACAGCAAAAGCAGCAAAAUUUUUCUUGGCUGAUGGUAUAAUCUUGACAGGAAAUGCUACAGGUUAUCCAGCAAAUGUAACAGAACUUACAGGUUGGUUAACCUCACUUCAUUUUGAGAAACACUGCUACAUAUGAUGCCAUCUUGCCACUAUAGGCAGUGCGAUGUCGCUACGGGCUAAGCGAAACUACUUUGUUCCGGUGGAACAUAAUGACGAGGGAUGGAAAACGGAUAGAUUUUCAGAAAUGGAAAUUUUGUAGGCAGUGGGUAAAAAGGAAGUUUUCCAAGCAUCCCAACGUUUACAACGACCAGCAGCUGUUCGCCCAGCUGAGCGUUCCCCCACCGAUGAUUUCUCCUCACCGCCGAAUCAAUGAGUUAUAAGGCCCCUCGUCAAAUUUUCAAUCUCAACGAAGAGAACUCUUCUUAUAAACGCGUUUAUAAAAAUACGUGCUACAUAUUAAAUUACGAAACAUAGUUGUUACGUCAAUUGACGUUGCAAAAGCUAUUCGCACGCGUCCGGGUGUGAAUUCUGAAGUGACCAAAAUGAAGGUCAGCGUAAAAAUAAAAAUUACUUAAAAUA